ACACUGCAGGCAAGAAUGGGCAAGUGCAUCAGCCCCACAGCAUGGAAAUGGGAGGGAGUCUGCGCCUUGCCCCUGCAAGUGUCCACCUGCUCAGGUACAGGCAUUUGGCCACCCACUUGGUCCAUACGCAUCCAGAGUGU
rnacentral:lncRNA from 1 species